UGGACGAACGCUGGCGGCGUGGAUUAGGCAUGCAAGUCGGACGGUAGGGCUUUAUCGUAAGAUACCCGAGUUUGAGAGUGGCGAACGGGUGAGUAACACGUAGGAAUCUACCCUUAAGACGGGACAACCCAGGGAAACUUGGGCUAAUACCGGAUGAGAGUGCGAGAGAUUGCAUUUAAAAGGAUGGCGAAAGUUGUCGCUUAGGGAUGAGCCUGCGGUCUAUUAGUUAGUUGGUGAGGUAAGAGCUCACCAAGGCGAUGAUAGAUAGGCGGCCUUAACGGGUGGUCGCCCACACUGGGAUUGAGAUACGGCCCAGACUCCUACGGGAGGCAGCAGUCGAGAAUAGUCUACAAUGGCCGGAAGGCUGAUAGUGCGACGCCGCGUGAACGAGGGAGCCCUUCGGGGUGUAAAGUUCUUUUCUAUACGAGCAGUGCUAUAUAUAUGGAUAGUAUAUAUAGAGGGAUAGUAGUAUAGGAAUAAGCAACGGCUAACUCCGUG
rnacentral:rRNA from 1 species